CCUACGGGAGGCAGCAGUGGGGAAUAUUGCACAAUGGGGGAAACCCUGAUGCAGCGACGCCGCGUGAGUGAAGAAGGAAUUCGUUAUGUAAAGCUCUAUCAGCAGGGAAGAAAAUGACGGUACCUGAGUAAGAAACCCCGGCCAACUACGUGCCAGCAGCCGCGGUAAUUCGUAGGGGGCAAGCGUUAUCCGGAUUUACUGGGGGUAAAGGGAGCGUAGACGGCAGUGCAAGUCCGGAGUGAAAGGCGGGGGCUCAACCCCCGGACUGCACUUGAGACUGUCCGGCUGGAGUGCAGGAGAGGUAGGUGGAAUUCCUGGUGUAGCGGUGAAAUGCGUAGAUAUUAGGAGGAACACCAGUGGCGAAGGCGGCUUACUGGACUGUAACUGACGUUGAGGCUCGAAAGCGUGGGGAGCAAACAGGAUUAGAUACCCGGGUAGUC
rnacentral:rRNA from 1 species